rnacentral:rRNA from 1 species
GAUGAACGCUGGCGGCGUGCCUAAUACAUGCAAGUCGAGCGAACAGAUGAGGAGCUUGCUCCUCUGACGUUAGCGGCGGACGGGUGAGUAACACGUGGAUAACCUACCUAUAAUACUGGGAUAACUUCGUGAAACCGGAGACAAUACCGGAUAAUAUAUUGAACCGCAUGGUUCAAUAGUGAAAGACGGUUUUGCUGUCACUUAUAGAUGGAUCCGCGCCGCAUUAGCUAGUUGGUAAGGUAACGGCUUACCAAGGCAACGAUGCGUAGCCGACCUGAGAGGGUGAUCGGCCACACUGGAACUGAGACACGGUCCAGACUCCUACGGGAGGCAGCAGUAGGGAAUCUUGCGCAAUGGGCGAAAGCCUGACGCAGCAACGCCGCGUGAGUGAUGAAGGUCUUCGGAUCGUAAAACUCUGUUAUUAGGGAAGAAAAAAUGUGUAAGUAACUAUGCACGUCUUGACGGUACCUAAUCAGAAAGCCACGGCUAACUACGUG